rnacentral:rRNA from 1 species
GUAGGUGGCCAGCGUUGUCCGGAAUUAUUGGGCGUAAAGCGCGCGCAGGCGGUUCUUUAAGUCUGAUGUGAAAGCCCACGGCUCAACCGUGGAGGGUCAUUGGAAACUGGAGAACUUGAGUACAGAAGAGGAAAGCGGAAUUCCCCGUGUAGCGGUGAAAUGCGUAGAGAUGUGGAGGAACACCAGUGGCGAAGGCGGCUUUCUGGUCUGUAACUGACGCUGAGGCGCGAAAGCGUGGGGAGCAAACAGGGAUUAGAUACCCUGGUAGUCCACGCCGUAAACGAUGAGUGCUAAGUGUUAGGGGGUUUCCGCCCCCUUAGUGCUGCAGCUAACGCAUUAAGCACUCCGCCUGGGGAGUACGGCCGCAAGGCUG